UACGUAGGAUGCAAGCGUUGUCCGGAAUUAUUGGGCGUAAAGAGCUCGUAGGCGGUUGCCUAAGUCUGUUGUUAAAGGCCUGAGCUCAACUCGGGUAUGGCAAUGGAUACUGGGCAGCUAGAGUGUGGUAGAGGUCACGGGAAUUCCAGGUGUAGCGGUGAAAUGCGUAGAUAUCUGGAGGAACACCAGUGGCGAAAGCGCGUGACUGGGCCACAACUGACGCUGAGGAACGAAAGCCAGGGGAGCAAACGGG
rnacentral:rRNA from 1 species